rnacentral:misc_RNA from 1 species
AUAUAUCAAACAACAAUUGUUUUUAAUUAACAAUGACUUGUUUGGAUGUUGGAUGCUUGCUGGACUGUCAUAUCUGGCCCAGCUCAUCUGAAAUAUAUUCGCUGAUCUUAAUAUCAAGGACUUAUCCACUUGGCGUGAUAGGUAUCACCUGCUGAGGACUUGUCCAGGGAUAAUAGAUUGCUUCUAAUCAUAGAUACUACUGUAUCAUAUUGAAUC